rnacentral:rRNA from 1 species
UACGUAGGGAGCGAGCGUUGUCCGGAUUUACUGGGUGUAAAGGGUGCGUAGGCGGACUGGCAAGUCAGUGGUGAAAACUAUGGGCUUAACCCAUAGACUGCCAUUGAAACUGUUGGUCUUGAGUGAAGUAGAGGCAGGCGGAAUUCCCGGUGUAGCGGUGAAAUGCGUAGAGAUCGGGAGGAACACCAGUGGCGAAGGCGGCCUGCUGGGCUUUAACUGACGCUGAGGCACGAAAGUGUGGGUAGCAAACAGG